rnacentral:rRNA from 1 species
GGCUUCGACGGGUAGCCGGCCUGAGAGGGUGACCGGCCACACUGGGACUGAGACACGGCCCAGACUCCUACGGGAGGCAGCAGUGGGGAAUAUUGGACAAUGGGCGGAAGCCUGAUCCAGCAACGCCGCGUGAGGGAUGACGGCCUUCGGGUUGUAAACCUCUUUCAGCACAGACGAAGCGCAAGUGACGGUAUGUGCAGAAGAAGGACCGGCCAACUACGUGCCAGCAGCCGCGGUAAUACGUAGGGUCCGAGCGUUGUCCGGAAUUAUUGGGCGUAAAGGGCUCGUAGGCGGUCUGUCGCGUCGGGAGUGAAAACCAGGUGCUUAACACCUGGCCUGCUUUCGAUACGGGCAGACUAGAGGUACUCAGGGGAGAAUGGAAUUCCUGGUGUAGCGGUGAAAUGCGCAGAUAUCAGGAGGAACACCGGUGGCGAAGGCGGUUCUCUGGGAGUAUCCUGACGCUGAGGAGCGAAAGUGUGGGGAGCGAACAGGAUUAGAUACCCUGGUAGUCCACACCGUAAACGUUGGGCGCUAGGUGUGGGAUCCAUUCCACGGGUUCCGUGCCGCAGCUAACGCAUUAAGCGCCCCGCCUGGGG